GAUCUUAAGUCCGUUUGACGACCCGUCAGGUGCGGUGAACUCUUGGGUUGAUAGAGUUGCACUCUGAGUUGGUGAUCUCAAG
rfam:Arabidopsis lyrata subsp. lyrata unplaced genomic scaffold ARALYscaffold_7, whole genome shotgun sequence.